rnacentral:rRNA from 1 species
AACGAACGCUGGCGGCAGGCUUAACACAUGCAAGUCGAACGCAUCCUUCGGGGUGAGUGGCAGACGGGUGAGUAACGCGUGGGAACGUGCCCUUCAGUUCGGGAUAACCCAGGGAAACUUGGGCUAAUACCGGAUACGUGCGAGAGCGGAAAGAUUUAUCGCUGAAGGAUCGGCCCGCGUCUGAUUAGCUAGUUGGUGGGGUAAUGGCCCACCAAGGCGACGAUCAGUAGCUGGUCUGAGAGGAUGAUCAGCCACAUUGGGACUGAGACACGGCCCAGACUCCUACGGGAGGCAGCAGUGGGGAAUAUUGGACAAUGGGCGCAAGCCUGAUCCAGCCAUGCCGCGUGAGUGAUGAAGGCCUUAGGGUUGUAAAGCUCUUUCGUCCGGGACGAUAAUGACGGUACCGGAAGAAGAAGCCCCGGCUAACUUCGUGCCAGCCGCCGCAGUAA